AAAGAAAGAUUGUUCUGUUUGGCCGAUCCUAUUUCUUCUCCAUUUUAGAUAGACAUCACUUUUCCUAUAUAAAUAAAUAAAACCUAGAGGCCAAAACUAAUACUAAUAGAAGAAAGAUCAAGAAAGAUUGUUCAUCGAGGUACUAUUUUCCCUGUAGUGCUGCCUAUUUGCUUGGAUGUGUAUCCAGAUGAAGAAAGAUCAAGAACUGAUGAAGAGAUGAUAGAAGAGUCUAUGCAAUUUGUAAACACAACUACCUAGGGAUUGUUGCAUAUGCAUGCAGAGGUUUCAUGAUGAUGAAUUGGAAGACGGUGAUGGUGAUGAUAGUGAUGACACGUGAAGGUUUCAACAAUGGCAUGCGGUCAUUUCACCACGAUUGUAUUGUAAAAUGGCUACAAACAAUUUAUGCUAUGCCUACUUGAAUAUUUAUUGAGAUUAUUUUCAGUUUUUGGUUCAAUAUUGUGUAUCAAUGUUUAGUACUACUUAACUAGUCUACGAUUGUAUGUAGUUUUUGAAGUUCUUUUAGCUUAAUGUUGAUUUUAGAGUCAUUUUGAUAAAUCAUUAUUAUGUAUGUAUUACUAGGUGAUUUGUUUUCUUCUUCUUCUUGCUCCGUUUCUUUUUCAGUUUCAUCUUACAUUUGUUGUUUGUUUUCUAUUGGUAAUACUGCGUUGAAUGUUUUUAUCCGAAGUUGAGGAAAUAUUGUAACUAGUCAUGUGAACAUCAUCUUAUGUUGUGUCAUCUAAAGUGGUCGUUGUUGUUUGACAUUCUUCUUCAUUGUUGAAGAGAAGAAUGUUGGAAGAAUAAAGAAUGUAUAAUACAAUUGUGAUACUUCUUGAGCCUGUGUGGAUCAUACGUUGAUGGGAAGGAUGGUGCAUUUGUUUAUUUUGGUUAUGGUCUUCAAAUUUGAUUUUAGAUUAAUUGUUG
rnacentral:lncRNA from 1 species